AUAUAUAUAUAUACCUACGAUGAUUGUUUAAGCCGCGGUAAACGCUUCUAGAACGCCCUCUGGCAGGAAGGAAGGUACUCAAAGAAAGUGGAGAUGAGGGAAACUCCGCUGGAGUGAGGGGAUUUAUCGGAAUCUCGUUCAGAGUGAGGAGUCAAUGAGGGUUUGCUUGUACUUGUGGUUCUAUUGAUAGGUGUUUGCAAUGGGCUUUCGUCUCAGGUAGUUCAGUCUCCGGGGUUACGCUUAGUUUCAUAUAAAAUAAAUGAAGAAGACAGCUGGACUUCAGAGUGGGAUCCUCCUAUGUUGUCGGCUGUUUGUUUGUCCGCAGCUAUUACAGCUUGUGCUCGAAUAUAUAUGUAUCCAUAUAUUUCCAGAU
rnacentral:lncRNA from 1 species